rnacentral:rRNA from 1 species
AGUGAACGCUGGCGGUAGGCCUAACACAUGCAAGUCGAACGGCAGCACAGUAAGAGCUUGCUCUUCCGGGUGGCGAGUGGCGGACGGGUGAGGUAUACAUCGUACUCUACUUUUUUGUGGGGGAUAACGUAGGGAAACUUACGCUAAUACCGCAUACGACCUACGGGUGAAAGCAGGGGAUCUUCGGACCUUGCGCGAUUGAAUGAGCCGAUGUCGGAUUAGCUAGUUGGCGGGGUAAAGGCCCACCAAGGCGACGAUCCGUAGCUGGUCUGAGAGGAUGAUCGGCCACACUGGAACUGAGACACGGUCCAGAGUCCUACGGGAGGCCGCAGUGGGGAAUAUUGGACAAUGGGGGCAAGCCUGAUCCAGCCAUACCGCGUGGGUGAAGAAGGCCUUCGGGUUGUAAAGCCCUUUUGUUGGGAAAGAAAAGCAGCAGGUUAAUACCCAGCUGUUCUGACGGUACCCAAAGAAUAAGCACCGGCUAACUUCGUG